rnacentral:lncRNA from 1 species
GUAGAACAAACAAGCUUGACUUUUGUUUCCAUCACUAAAGAUAUCCAAACAACCUGUCAGAUGAUGGAGAAGGCUGAAAUAUCUUGAGAGAGUAGAAAAUUCUUGUUAGCGUGAUGGUUAAUGUCUUUCCAAGGCAUUUAUUUGUACACCUGUAAUAUGAUCCUUCAUUACACAAGAUAUGUAUAAUUUGCAAUUCAGGUUGUCGCUAAGUUCAUUCAAGGAAAGAAAUGUGCCACCUGGUGUCAUUCAAGGAACGAAAGAAAUGUGCCACCCGGUGUAUUGAUAUUCAUAUUUUUCUUUACGGAAGAUUUUCCGUGGCGUGAAA